GCAGUUUCAGAAGAGAGACUCCCCAGCAAGGAGAAAGAAGCAAGAGAGGCACUGGAGACCAGUUGGAUGUCAGGGAGAAGCACAGAUCAGUUUCAGAAGUAAGAGAAAAGCCAUCAGAGAUGUCCUGUAAAUAUGCACAUUCACAGGCUUUUUAAGUAGAGUGGCUAGCUGAUAUAUAAAGCUAGAAAACACCGUAUGCCUGAAAAACUACAAAACCAACAAAAACUGUGUAUGCAAUGACAUCAGAGAAAUACUCAAUCCCAUCUCAGUCAUACAGCCUUUUAGGCCAAUUUUACAACAGAGAGGUUCUUCAUAAAUUUGGCAGGAAUUUCAGGCAAAGUGAUGUGGCAUGUCCGUAUGUCUUCAAGAGAGAAGCUGAAUGCUAGGGCAGACCUAGGAUACAGCACACAGCAAAAUACCCACUCCUAAAACAGACACGACUUAGAAGGGCCACACUGCAGCAGUGGAUUUCCUCAUCUAUUUCCUCCAUGGAAACAUGGCAGAUGAGUCUGGGACAAAGGCUCACUCGUGCAGGAUCCCUUCACAGACCAAGCCAAUGGCUGUGGAACUGGAGAAGUCCAGGGAUGCAAAGCUACAACAACUGUCAAUUGUAUAUUCAUAGACUUGUCUGAGUGAGAAAGUUGCACUUCAACCAGCAUAUAACUCACAUGGAAUGUUAUUUCAGUUUAAGAAGCACAUUUGUUAAUCAACUGAAGUCAAUCAGAAAUAAAAUAAAAGCUUGAAACUGAAAUUUCACCACCAGGCAAUUCUGUGAUUCAAACUGUAAGAAAAUGACCAGGGAAUCAGCAACUCAAGUGGAGGAUGAAGAAUGGAAAGAGAGAAGAAAGGAAAGCUUAAAAUGAUGCUAUUGGAAUGUACACAAAUAUGUGGUUUAAAAGCCUGUUUGGGAGAGGAACAAAAAGACUCAGCAUAGGAUGCUCUUGGCGUGAAGAGAAAGAUUUCCACACUGGAAAUGAGCAAUGAAAUCUUGCAGGAAGACUUCACAUACUCCCCCCUGAAGACCUGAAAGAAGGCAAAACAAGACUGUUGGGAGCAAGUGUCUGGAAUCCAGCUUCCUUCCCUUGCUCACUGUCUCCCUCCCAGUUCCACAACUUCAGUGGGCCUGGCUGCAAUCUGUGCCAAAGACAAAAAUUAUGAAAAUCAUAAACACAGUUCACUUCCUCUCUGCAGGUGCUACCAGGCUGCCAUGAGUUCAGUCUAUGAAGAGUAUGUGUUCCCAUGCACCGUGCUGGGAAUACAAUAUUCACCCUGUUCAUGUGGACAAUUGUUAUGGAUAAACAAGGUUUAAAGACCUACAAAGACCUGAUGUUUGUCAACAACACAGCUCUAGAAAGCAUUAAAAAAACUCUCAAAGACUUUCUUAUGAGACCCUGCAAGCAAGUUUCUGGCAGAAACCUUCCACAAAUACGGCAAAUAUAUAAAUAAAAAAACCUAAAAUUCACAUAUUUCGAUCAUGCUACUUAAUACUUGACUAAAAAUUUACUCCUCUUUCUUUCUUUGACCUCAUAAUGUGUUAAAUUCUU